rnacentral:rRNA from 1 species
AUGUAUGUAGUAUUACUCACUCACUCACUCAAUCUGUACAGGAGCAGAACAAAUUUAACCAAACGAAUCAACGAAUUUCACCACUGGACUGGACUGGACCAAAAACUUGGAUGGAUCGAUGGGAUCCAUGCAGCAGCAGCUAGAUGCUCAGGCGGUGAGAAGCCGGGGCUUCUUGAAGGCGAGGGGGCUCUGCACCUCCUCCUCGUCCUCCCACAUCUUGCCCUUGGCGCACGGCCUCCACACGAACUCCGGCACGGCCGGGAUGUUCAGGUCGAAGGCCCGGGCGGCGGAGCUCCCGUUGCCGGUGCUCCCCACCUCGGACUCGGCGGCCGCGGCGGCCAGAAGCUCGGUGGACGAGGGGGCGACGCUGCCCACGCCUCCGUCGUAGUGCUUCCUCUUGUGCCCGCCCAGCGCCUGCCCGGUGGGGAACUCCUUUUGGCAGAUGGAGCACCUGUGGACCCUGUUGGUCGUGCCGUCGGAGGACGCGGCGGUGGACGACGUGGCCGGCUCGGCGGACGGCAGGACGGCGGCGACGGCCGGGAGGGCCACGAGUGGAGCGGCGGCGGCAUCAGCGGGAGGAGACGGCUGCUUCACCCGGUGGCUCGUCUUGUGGCCACCCAGCGCCUGGUAGGAGCUGAAGGACUUGCCGCACACGGAGCACUUGAACUCGGCAGGCACCGGCGCAGAGAACGACUCCGGCUGCGGCGCCUGAACACGCUGCUUGCCGCCGCGGGAGAGCAUGAGGAGGCAGAGCGCGAGGUUCUCCUCCUCGGAGCGCUGGCGGCGCGAUCGCUUCCUCUUGGCCCAGCCCUGCAGCACGUGGCCGCUCUCCUCGCCGCUGGUGGCGCCGCUGAGCGCCGCGGCCGCCAUCUCCCCGUCGCGCUGCUGCUGCUCCGGGAUCAGGGCGUGGAGCGCUUCCAUGGCCGACGACGACAUGGCUAA